AAUGAGUGCACACUAACAAAAGAGUCCAUACUAACAAAAGAGUCCAUACUAACAAAAGAGUCCACACUAACAAAAGAGUCCAUACUAACAAGAGUCCAUACUAACAAAGGAGUCCAUACUAACAAGAGUCCAUACUAACAAAGGAGUCCAUACUAACAAAAGAGUCCAUACUAACAAAGGAGUCCAUACUAACAAAGGAGUCCAUACUAACAAAGGAGUCCAUACUAACACAGGAAAUAGAAGGUCUAACAGAACAGAUAGAUGGCUAUAAAAACUUUACCAUAAAGACUCAGAGAAAGUUGGAGGAAAAACAGAAAGUAAUGGAGGAAUUUAUUCAAGAAAGAUCA
rnacentral:lncRNA from 1 species